CUGACAUCCAUUUUAGUGUAUAAAUUCUCUGAAAUCAGGAUGAAUAAUAAUCCUGGUCAGUUUGUCUUUGGCUGCUCUUCAAUUCAGCAGAAAAAAUAGUCUAUCACAAAAAUGUUUCAUUGUGUAAUACUUGACUGCUUUUAUCUGUUUAUGCCACACACAGAGCAGUAAUAAAUGUUUAAAGGAAAAUGUGGGUUCCAGGAAUACAGGUGUAUGAAGAAAUAUCAGCUGGAUUCUCCCCCAGUUUCUUUAGAAGGGUGAGAAAAUCUGCAGCGAUUCUGAGCUUUCAUUAUUGAUAGAGACUUGGAACCUGCAACCCACAGAAGUCCCAAGAGUGCGGAUUUAUCCAUGGAAUUAUACCAAGAAUAAAUUAGACCAUGGACAUCAGAGGCACCACUCACAGGCAAAGAAGAAAAAGAAGGGAAAAAAAAAAGAAAGGAAAAAAGAAGGAUUGAGAUGGGACAAAAGACGGCGUAGCAGCAAGGAGCUUCUCCUGCAUCCACUUACUGAAGAAUGCGGAGUUCAAUCUUCAAAAUGGGAAAUCAACUUGUAUUUCUUACAGACUAGCAUUUUCUAUUGCAGAAAAACAAGUAAUAAAUGUUCUCCCAUGGUCUCCGAUUGCUGACCAUGUUUUAGAGCAAUUGAGAAUUUGUUAGGA
ensembl:lncRNA